CACGUUCGUGUGGAACCUUGUGCCGAACCAUUCGUAGAUGACCUGCUUCUGGGUCGGGGUUUCGUUCGUAGGAGAGCAGUUCCCUCACUACGAUCUAUUGAAAGUCAGCUGUCGACACAAGGGUUUG
rnacentral:rRNA from 1 species